GUAGGGACUCUAUACGCAGAUGGACCUAAGCGCAGGAGGAGGAUGCCGUGCACGCAGGGUGCACCGCGCUGCCCUGGGAGGGGAAUGUCUGGAAUGAGAUAUCCAAGAUCCAUAAUGAUUUUUAAAUCGAACACAAACACACUGGCAACUUAUGGAAAAAAAUAAGAAAUGUUACAAUAUUACAACCAGAUGGUUUGCCAAAAUGCAGAACAGAUUUAAAAAAUAAAGAAAGCAUGAAAAAGAGCACUGAGGAACAAAGAGCUGAGAACCAUGGGCAGUGAACAUGUUGACAGACAGCACACUAUGAGCGGGCGUUUAUUCCACUUGGUACCUGUCAGCAGUCUGUAUGCUGGGCUGAAGCACAGGUAAGAAUUCCUGCUGCAGCAACCCCAUGGGAGGGCUAGAAGGCCUUUAAAAAACAGCAAACAGCAGCAUUCAAACACCCACACCGACUCACCCUGCACUGCAAAAACAACACUCCAGAGAAAAUACACGAGACUGGAAGCAGACUCAACAGAAACUCGUUAACCUCAACAAGCCCCUGGCCGUGGCUGGGUGUUUAAGGAGACUGGGGAGAAGCUAGCCAGCCCUCACUGCACCCGCUGCUGCUGGUGCGUGUCCAGAGGCGUCUCGGUUCCUGGUCCCAGAGCUCAGCCCCCUUUGGAGGUGGUAUAAAAAGCGACCAGUGAGGAAGAGGACGAUGGAAUGCAGCUGAAUGGCAACAGGGAGGAGGGGCAGCCUUUGAGAAGACACAUUUUCAAAGCCAGCCUCUUUACUUUCCACUCUUCUCACGGUACACCAGUCCCAGCAUUCAACCUGGUGAUGUCUGGUAACCAUCUUUAACAGGAUUGAAGCCCCACCGGAGAGGCCCUUCCAAGAGGACUAAAUGGUCUGGCAAUGUUUUUGAUUAAAAAAAAAAAAAAGGGUGAGUUUGAAUUUCAAAAACAUAUUGAGAACAGAUGGGGGAAAAUAAGAGUCCGGGACCCAUGGCUGUGCAGAAUUCUGUAACAACAAAGAUUUAGUAUAUUAGCUGGUGAUCACCUCAUAGAACAUUAUUAUCCACCCUGUUCAGAGUAUAAGUAGGACAUUGUUUUCCAUUUUAAUCCACUCUAAUACAACUAGGAUACUGCAUUUAUCAGCACAGAAACAUUUCUCUCUUUUAAAAUACUUAAGAGCAAAAGGUCUUUAUAACAGAGUAAGAGCUUCUCCCUCCUUUGAGUGAAGCACCGGGUGCCUUCAGUGUUGGUACUGUACCUGCUUGCAUCCCAGAUGCCACAGCUAGGGCAGACUCACAGCCUUACCCCCGGGGAGAAGUGUACACUGCUCACAACAUCUCUGCCACUCAUCUGGAGGGACCACCCAAAAGGUCUGUAAUGGCUUCAGAGAACUUGUUUGGAACCCAAAGGGAAAAGGAAUUGAGACUGUUUAAUGAAGAGUCCAACCAUUCCUCAGUGAGGAAGAACUCUCUGCCUUAAGCAGUGUGCUUUCUACCAUGUUAAUUUAGGCAUAAGUAAUUAACCUUGAGAUUCACACGGUGAAGACUCUGGGCAAGUCCCUACACGGUCAGAUCACUACGGAAUAAUCCCUAUUCCUGCUUCCAAACUGAUGAAACUGCAGCCUUCCUAAGAGGCUUGUCUUCUCUAGAAAGUUACAAGAAAUUAACGGUCAUAUUGAUCAAGGUGGCAGAGCCUGGAGUUAUCCCUCACUAGUUAGAAGGGCAUGAUGGGUAUCCUUUACACAAACAGCUCCGAACGCUCUGCCCUGUGAUACUAGCUGGUACCCAACACUCCCUUGCUCUCAUUCCCCAUCCUAGGGUUUGUCCACAUGGACUUAUGUCACUCUUCAGCUCAGUAAAAACUGGUAAAAGAAGAAAGGUUCAGUACAAUGAA